AUUAAGUGUCGUAAGGGCAUUUGGUGGAUGCCUUGGCAUGCACAGGCGAUGAAGGACGUGAUACGCUGCGAUAAGCCGUGGGGAGCUGCGAAUGAGCUUUGAUCCAUGGAUUUCCGAAUGGGGAAACCCACCUUAAAUGCUUGGGAAAUC
rnacentral:rRNA from 1 species